UCGCGUGAUCGAACGCUAUAAAAUACACUCACCAGUCACAAGUCAGUCGUCACCAUCAUAUACACAGUCGCUACCGGCGCAUCUUAGAGUGCGCCACCGGAUUGAUGUCCGAUCAGAACCCUAAACCACAAAUCAGUUUUGCCGUCGAUGUUAUCUGCUUCUUCCAUCCAUUAAGAAAGAAAAAAGGAAAAUUGGAGAAUUGCUACUGUCAGGAAGACGGGUGACAUUUGCAAUGCCAAUAUAUUCUUCAUACGCUACUGGAGGAUAUUAGAGUACGCCACACACCACCGGAUUACUGCUAUUAACUGUUUUGGUGACAAUGUCCAAUUAAAACCGUAAACCCCAAAUACAUUUUGCACCUGCUUCUGGAAAAUUGGAGAAGUUGAUACUUCUCCUUCAUCAUGAAUUUCCCUCCGGAAGUUAAGUUCGGAUACUUCUCCUUCAUCAUGAAUUUCCCUCAUGAUCUUCAUGUGUUUGAGGUCUCAUUUUAGUAGUGGCUAUAUUAAUCUGUAGAUCAUGUUCACAGGGUUAAAAGCGCAUAUGAGAGGUAACAUGUGUCUUGGAUCAAGAAGAACGUAUUUUCAAGUCAAAGAUUCUAAAUCUGCAAAACUGUGAAUACUGAUAUGGUGCAGCAAUUUGAAGAUGCUGGCCUUUCUUUCACUGGCAAAGAUGAAAGUGGUCGUCGCAUGGAGGUAUAUGUUUCUAUAGGCAUUGGGACCUGCUAUGUUAAGGUGGAUGACAAUGAUGUUGUAAGUUUGUGUGCAGUGAGGAUGACCUACUUUGCACACGUGCUUCUCCUUCUCUGUUGCCGCUAUUGUCCAGUGGGUUUGGCAUCCCUUUGAGUUCCCUUAACAAUUUGUUCAGUGAGGACGGUUCAUUCUUGCUCUCAGGAUACAUCUUAGGUCCUGAUGUUUACACGGUGAAGAGUCAUCUGUAAAUAGGGGUGGAAGCUGUAUUAGUUCCUAGAGGAUUUGGUGAUAGAUGUGUGGAGGGUAAAAUACUUGCUGCCAAAUAUGCCCGUGAAAACUGGAUUCCUUACCUGGGUGGCUGGGCAUAUGUCUAGGCAUGCAAAUUGUUGUUAUCGAGUAUGCUAGAUCCAUUCUUGGGUUGCAAGAUGUGAACAGUACAGAGUUUGAUCCCAACACCGACAAUCCUUGGGUAAUUUUUAUGCCGGAAGGUUCAAAAGCGCAUAUGAGAGGUACCAUGUGUCUUGGAUCAAGAAGAACAUAUUUUCAAGUCAAAGAUUCUAAAUCUGCAAAACUGUGAAUCCUGAUACGGUGCAGCAAUUUAAAGAUGCUGGCCUUUCUUUCAUUGGCAAAGAUGAAAGUGGUCGCCGCAUGGAGGUAUAUGUUGCUAUAGGCUUGAAACCUGCUAUGUUAAGGUGGAUGACGAUGGAUCAUCUGAAGUUGUACUUUCUUUUGAAGGAUCUGGUGUUUCACAAGAUGGAUUGGUGCUGAUGGGAAAAAGAUUUGGUGAUCUUUUUGCAAAAUGUUGAACUGACAUCAUCUUUUUUAUUGUAUUGAUACUGCUGUACAUAGUUUCUUUUGCCUGACAACUAUGAUGUUCGUAAUUGAAUGAUUGUUGUAAUCUAUAGAAUUGCAUACAAUACUCAACUUAUAGGCUGUUUGAUCAUUUGUGUUCAUUAGUAUCUUUUCACAGAUGUUUUAUUUAUUGUUGUGGUUUUUUAUUUGUAAUUGGGCAAAAUUGUAUGGCUACACACCACAAAAUAUUGAUGCUUACACUUUUAUUUUGUUUUAUUGCAAGACGUUCAUGUACAUAGCUUUCCUGGUUCUUCAUGUGCAUUAAAAUACUUUACAUACCUGUACCGCCUCCCCAAAAGAAAAAGGGGGGAGGGGGGAUGAAAUAUAAUUUUUGUUGAUCACUUCUGUAUGUAGAGAUGAUUUGAUUACUUAUUCUAGCUGAAGUUGAGCUGGAACAUACAUAUUUGUGCUUAGGUACUUUUAGCCCAGCUUAUGGAGACCAACAUAUGUGCAUGUUUCUUUCAUCUUCUAUCAUACUUCCUUUUUGUUUGGCCAGUUUAAUUAACUAUUGUUUUGUAUGCUUCCUUUACACCAGCGACAUCAAAAUACUGCUAUUCAGAUGUUAUGCAUGCUUUCCCAGCAAGCUUUGACUUUAAAGGAGAGGCUUUGAGCUCUAUUUCUGACCUUUCUUUGUUGGAAAUUGUUACUAAAACUCAUGGGAUGCCAAAUGGAUAUCGAAAGGUUUUGAAGGAUAGCAAGUGUUUGUACCUUGGAAUUGACAACUGUAGACAAGAAAAUCUUAAGAAUUAUUUGAUACCACAAGCUAUGCUCUAAGGUGGAUUGGGACUCGCAUAAAUGGAUUGAUGUUGGAAAUUGAGGUAAAACAGAUGAGCUUAUAAGGAAGAAGAAGAGUAGAAGAAGUCAUACAGCUCUUCCAUUUUACGAUAGCAAGAAGCAGUUCUUUGCCUCAAGUGAGUCUUCACGAAAGGCAGCAAGAAAUAAUAAAGACAGUUCAUGAUGAGCCACUCAUGCCAGAAGCUAUCUGGUCAGAGCUUCCAUGGAUGUCAUCCCAUCAAUGUGAUCAAUCUUCCACCCCAAGUACUGGUGACAGUGUAUUCUCUGAUGUAAGGCCAAGUGUGAAAAUGAAACUUGUUAACAUCUGAAUUAGCAAAUUACAAGCUCAAGGGGAGUGCACAAGCACACGCGAUGGGGAGUCAAAAGAAGGUAAACCAUACCUGCUGAUGGCUCAUAGGCAAACUGAUGCUUGCAGCCAUGCUGGGUUUCAAAGCUUUUGAGAUUCGUAUUUUGGCAUUGCAAAGUUCAAUUUUUUUUGUGUUACUAAAUCACCUUUUUGGUGAAACUACACGGCCUUCUACUUUUUUUGAGAUUCGUAUUUUGGCAUUGCACCUUUUUUUGUUUGUACCUUGGAAUUGAUUAUUGUAGACAAGAUGUUGGUACAACAAUUAAUUGCCUAUCUGAUACAGAGUUGACAGAGUUGACUGUUGUUUGCUAAUAAAGAACUUUGUUGGGAUUUUUCUCUUUGCAGUCAUUGUUCGUGAUGUAUUUUACAACCAACCAGUUCCAAGGAAGCAAAUGUACUCCAAGUAUUUCUAGUUUUCUCACAAUUCAAACAAAUAAAAAAUAUUGAUUUACUUACUUUACUUCUAAAGCUAUACUCUGUCCUGAAUGAUCGUUUGGUUUGCAUAUAUAAUCUGGAAGCCCAAAGAGGGCCUUGCAUUCUCUGAAGAGUCUCUGCUAAGAAUUGCCCUUGUGCAUCCCAAUGUCUGCUUCAAAAUUGUUGAUAUUGAAAGGUCUGUCUCUGCUAUACCAGCUAAGGAUAUUUCCUAUCUGGUUUCUUAGAUUUCAUUUGCAUGCCGUGAGGAUGACUGCUUUGCACCUUCUCCAUCCCCAUUGCCGCUAUUGUCCAGUGGAUUUGGGAUUCAUCUGAGUUCCCUUAAUAAAUUGAAUGCAAGCGAUGGUUCAUUCAAGCUCUAAGGAUACAUCUCAGGUCCUGAUAUUUACACAGAGAAGGUCCUUCAAUAUUUCUAUAUCUAUUCAAGAUUUGUUUCCAAAGGACCAAUACAUAAAUUACCUAAUAACAUAGCGAUGAGUUCUGACAGUGUUUCUGACAUUGAGCAGCAAAGUAGAUCUCAGAUAUAUCCACUGUUUUUGUUUAACCUAAACUGCCCAAGAUCUUUAUAUGAUUUGACUUCUGGAGCCUUCAAAGACCUCUGUGGAAUAUAAGAAUUGAGUUUGUUCUUCUCAUUGCACGAAAACUUCAUGCUUUUUCAACCA